UUGCCACUAUACUCAUCCUGAUGAAAUUCUCAAACUUGGAUGAAAUUAAAAUGAAUGCUCGGUUCGUAGGUUUUUGUUAGCACCCUGUUGUUAUUAGUAGAAUUCUCUCAAUUUUUUUUUGUUAAGUACGACUUCGACUGCUAAGGUCUUUUCGUCUACUUCUAAUCACUUGUAGUCAAGAGUACUUCUAAUCCGGUCAUCGCUUUUAAGAUUAUCAGGUAAGUUUCUCAUUAAUUUCUUUUCAGCUCUUUGGUGGUUAUGUGCUGCACAGUCGCAAAUUAUGUGCGUUACGGUCAGAAUUGUUUUUAUUUCCGUAGCUUUCGCACACUUUGUCUUUCUUUUAUAAAAGCUUCCAUCUUUGCUCAAAAAUAUCAAGAAAAUAAACGCAUGGCCUGAAGAUGACAAUGAUAAUAAUCGUCGAAAUCGAUCGCCAAUAGAAAACUUACUCACGACUUAUUGUUGUUUUAUAUCUACCAUCUACUACCAUCAAAUCCCAACAAUAUAAAAUGGAGC